GCUCUUCUAGUAUACUAAUUACAAUUGACUUCCAAUCUAUAGAAUCUGGCGUAAAUCCAGAGAAGGGCA
rnacentral:tRNA from 1 species